AUUGAACGCUGGCGGCAGGCCUAACACAUGCAAGUCGAACGAGUGGCGGACGGGUGAGUAAUGUCUGGGAAACUGCCUGAUGGAGGGGGAUAACUACUGGAAACGGUGGCUAAUACCGAAUACUCUCAGAUGAGCCUAGGUCGGAUAGGCGAGUGGGUGGGGUAAAGGCCUACCAAGGCGACGAUCCGUAACUGGUUUGAGGGAAUGCCCAGUCACACUGGAACUGAGACACGGUCCAGCAUCCUACGGGGGCCAGCAGUGGGGAAUAUUGCACAAUGGGCGAAAGCCUGAUCCAGCCAUGCCGCGUGUGUGAAGAAGGUCUUCGGGUUGUAAAGCACUUUAAGUUUGGCGGCUUUACCAGCAGAAUAAGCACCGGCUAACUCCGUGCCAGCAGCCGCGGUAAUAC
rnacentral:rRNA from 1 species